GGCUUGUUCUCAUAUGAUCACUCAAGUUAAGCGACUUCGAGCUUGGUCAUUACCUAGAUGGGUAACCACUUGGGAAUACCAGGUGCU